UAGGAGUUGGAAUAGGAGCUUGCUCCGU
rnacentral:piRNA from 2 species